GGGAAGUCAGAGCUCGGAACAACUUAGGCUCAAAUGAAAGAGUAUUGUAUUAUUACUUUGCAUACCAAGUCUAAAAUCUUUACGUUAAAUACAACUCGAGAAAUAAAGCAAUGAAACUGCGUUAUUUUGCAAAUAUAAAUGUACAUCCGAGCGAACCUGCGAUCAAGCAGCGGAAUUACAUCGUUACGUCACUGCGCGACUCUGUAAUCGAGCAAUUUCGAAGAGAAUAGAAUAGAUAUUUUGUCUGUCAAUUUUAAAGUCUUCUAGGUAAAUGGCGUAUUUAAACGAUUCUUCGAGCGAUAUUUUAACCUGUUCUAACUUAAAAGAUGGUAAAGAAAUUUCAAAGAUAAAUGGAGGGUUUAAAUAUUAUACUUUUGAACUGGUUAAUGAAACGGGGACAUAUUUUUCUGACAUGCUAAGACGAAAGCAGAAAAUAUGUGUAUUGAAGAUUCUAAUUCAGAGUUUUAACGACACCACAAUUUUCGAGACAUUGUCAAUGACUGGGAAGACAAUCUUAUUUUGAACUUCAUAAAACUGAUCUUUAUUUACAAAGUUUAAAUUAAUUGCAUUUGCAAAUUGCUUGGUGGCUUCAUAGGUUCCUCCAGUCAUGAUAGUUGCAGCAGGAAUUAAAAUAUUACCUGCUGGUUUAUUGUGCAAAUAUGGUUGAGACUUCCACUGUUCCUCACCUUCAGAUUCCUCAUCUGUAUCUAGUUCCUCAAGAUAGGUAUAAUCAUCAUCACUAUCUGAUGCAGCAAUAUCAUCACUGCUUCCUAAAGAGAUUUCUGAAUCAGAUGAUAUAAUAGGAGUUGUUAUGAUAGGAGUUGUUGUGUUAGGAGUUGUGGGAGAUGUUACUGGUUUUGGUGUACGACUUGAAGAAACUGCAUUUAAAGAGGGGGCAACAUUUUUUGAAGCGUUUUUAUUUUUUAAUGGUUUCCUUUUUCUUUGUGCAAGAGUUUGUAUGGCAACUGUCCUUUGUCUUGGUGUAUCACACUGUGCUUCUGCAUCAAUGAAAACUUUUGGCUCACAUUGAAUCUGGGCAUCCUUGGACAAUGGACUGGGAGGCUGAUCUUCAAUGCAUGUUGCAAGAUUUGUAUCUUCAUCUAGUGAUUGUAUUAUGCUUCUAACUUCCUACAAAAUAGUCAAACUUCUCAACCAAGAGAGUACAAAGCUAAUUGUUUAAAGAACAGUUCAAUAACUUCAAAUAUAUUCUAUAUGGUUGCAAUAUCCUAUUUA